rnacentral:rRNA from 1 species
GAUGAACGCUGGCGGCGUGCCUAAUACAUGCGAGUCGAGCGAACAGAUGAGGAGCUUGCUCCUCUGACGUUAGCGGCGGACGGGUGAGUAACACGUGGAUAACCUACCUAUAAGACUGGGAUAACUUCGGGAAACCGGAGCUAAUACCGGAUAAUAUAUUGAACCGCAUGGUUCAAUAGUGAAAGACGGUUUUGCUGUCACUUAUAGAUGGAUCCGCGCCGCAUUAGCUAGUUGGUAAGGUAACGGCUUACCAAGGCAACGAUGCGUAGCCGACCUGAGAGGGGGAUCGGCCACACUGGAGCUGAGACACGGUCCAGACUCCUACGGGAGGCAGCAGUAGGGAAUCUUCCGCAAUGGGCGAAAGCCUGACGGAGCAACGCCACGUGAGUGAUGAAGGUCUUCGGAUCGUAAAACUCUGUUAUUAGGGGAGAACAAAUGUGUAAGUAACUAUGCACGUCUUGACGGUACCUAAUCAGAAAGCCACGGCUAACUACGUG